AUUCAGCUAAGAAGAGACAGAGGCUACAUGUCAGCGGGUCUGGGAUAACACUGAGGCUACAGGUCAGCGAGUCUGGGAUAACACUGAGGCUACAGGUCAGCGGGUCUGGGAUAACACUGAGGCUACAGGUCAGCGGGUCUGGGAUAACACUGAGGCUACAGGUCAGCGGGUCUGGGAUAACACUGAGGCUACAGGUCAGCGAGUCUGGGAUAACACUGAGGCUACAGGUCAGCGGGUCUGGGAUAACACUGAGGCUACAGGUCAGCGGGUCUGGGAUAACACUGAGGCUACAGGUCAGCGGGUCUGGGAUAACACUGAGGCUACAGGUCAGCGGGUCUGGGAUAACACUGAGGCUACAGGUCAGCGGGUCUGGGAUAACACUGAGGCUACAGGUCAGCGGGUCUGGGAUAACACUGAGGCUGUCACACAGUAAACUACUGAUAAGCACACUUCUAAGUUCUCUC